rnacentral:rRNA from 1 species
AUUGAACGCUGGCGGCAGGCCUAACACAUGCAAGUCGAGCGGAUGACGGGAGCUUGCUCCUUGAUUCAGCGGCGGACGGGUGAGUAAUGCCUAGGAAUCUGCCUGGUAGUGGGGGACAACGUUUCGAAAGGAACGCUAAUACCGCAUACGUCCUACGGGAGAAAGCAGGGGACCUUCGGGCCUUGCGCUAUCAGAUGAGCCUAGGUCGGAUUAGCUGGUAGGUGAGGUAAUGGCUCACCUAGGCGACGAUCCGUAACUGGUCUGAGAGGUGGAUCAGCCACCCUGGAACGGAGACACGGCCAGGACUCCUAGGGGAGGCAGCAGUGGGGAAGAUUGGACAAUGGGCGAAGGCCGGUGCCAGCCAUGCGGCGUGUGUGAAGAAGGUCUUCGGAUUGUAAAGCACUUUAAGUUGGGAGGAAGGGCAGUAAGUUAAUACCUUGCUGUUUUGACGUUACCGACAGAAUAAGCACCGGCUAACUCUGUGCCAGCCGCCGCCGUAA